rnacentral:rRNA from 1 species
AUUGAACGCUGGCGGCAGGCCUAACACAUGCAAGUCGAGCGGAUGAAGGGAGCUUGCUCCUGGAUUCAGCGGCGGACGGGUGAGUAAUGCCUAGGAAUCUGCCUGGUAGUGGGGGAUAACGUCCGGAAACGGGCGCUAAUACCGCAUACGUCCUAAGGGAGAAAGUGGGGGAUCUUCGGACCUCACGCUAUCAGAUGAGCCUAGGUCGGAUUAGCUAGUUGGUGGGGUAAAGGCCUACCAAGGCGACGAUCCGUAACUGGUCUGAGAGGAUGAUCAGUCACACCGGAACUGAGACACGGUCCAGACUCCUACGGGAGGCAGCAGUGGGGAAUAUUGGACAAAGGGCGAAAGCCUGAUCCAGCCAUGCCGCGUGUGUGAAGAAGGUCUUCGGAUUGUAAAGCACUUUAAGUUGGGAGGAAGGGCAGUAAGUUAAUACCUUGCUGUUUUGACGUUACCAACAGAAUAAGCACCGGCUAACUUCGUG